AGAGUUUGAUCAUGGCUCAGGAUGAACGCUAGCGGCAGGCUUAAUACAUGCAAGUCGAGGGGCAGCACAGGUAGCAAUACUGGGUGGCGACCGGCAAACGGGUGCGGAACACGUACGCAACCUUCCUUUAAGCGGGGAAUAGCCCAGGGAAACUUGGAUUAAUACCCCAUAAGAUUAUGGUGUGGCACCACACAGUAAUUAAAGCUACGGCACUUAAAGAUGGGCGUGCGGCUGAUUAGGUAGUUGGCGGGGUAACGGCCCACCAAGCCAACGAUCAGUAACUGGUGUGAGAGCACGACCAGUCACACGGGCACUGAGACACGGGCCCGACUCCUACGGGAGGCAGCAGUAAGGAAUAUUGGUCAAUGGACGCAAGUCUGAACCAGCCAUGCCGCGUGGAGGAUGAAGGCCCUCUGGGUUGUAAACUUCUUUUAUCUGGGAAGAAACCCAUCUUUUCUAAGGUGGUUGACGGUACCAGUUGAAUAAGCACCGGCUAACUCCGUGCCAGCAGCCGCGGUAAUACGGAGGGUGCAAGCGUUAUCCGGAUUCACUGGGUUUAAAGGGUGCGUAGGUGGGCAGGUAAGUCAGUGGUGAAAUCUCCGGGCUUAACCCGGAAACUGCCGUUGAUACUAUCUGUCUUGAAUGUAGUGGAGGUGAGCGGAAUAUGUCAUGUAGCGGUGAAAUGCUUAGAUAUGACAUAGAACACCCAUUGCGAAGGCAGCUCGCUACACUAUUAUUGACACUGAGGCACGAAAGCGUGGGGAUCAAACAGGAUUAGAUACCCUAGUAGUCC
rnacentral:rRNA from 1 species